rnacentral:rRNA from 1 species
AGAGUUUGAUCCUGGCUCAGAAUGAACGUUGGCGGCGUGGAUUAGGCAUGCAAGUCGAGCGGGUAUAGCAAUAUAUCAGCGGCGAAAGGGAGAGUAACGCGUAGCUACGUGCCCCAGAGACCGGAAUAGCCAGCCGAAAGGCUGGGUAAUGCCGGAUGAUGUCCCCGGACUAAAGGGUGUGAUUCCGCUUUGGGAGCGGGCUGCGUUGUACUAGCUAGUUGGUAGGGUAAUGGCCUACCAAGGCGAUGAUGCAUACCGGGCGUGAGAGCGUGGCCCGGCUCACUGGGACUGAGACACUGCCCAGACACCUACGGGUGGCUGCAGUCGAGAAUCUUCGGCAAUGAGCGCAAGCUUGACCGAGCGACGCCGCGUGCGGGAUGAAGGCCUUCGGGUUGUAAACCGCUUUCGGUAGGGAGGAAAUCGCUGGGGGUUCUCCCCCAGUGUUGACCUAUCUCGAAGAAGAC